CGGUAGUCCUGGCUCAGGAUAAACGCUGGCGGCGUGCUUAACACAUGCAAGUCGACGGAGUACUCUCCCGAGACCGAGGAAGCUUGCUUCCAAGAAUCAUUGAAGUACUUAGUGGCGGACGGGUGAGUAACGCGUGGGUAACCUGCCUCACACUGGGGGAUAGCAGUUGGAAACGACUGAUAAUACCGCAUAAGCGCACAGUAUCGCAUGAUACAGUGUGAAAAAACUCCGGUGGUGUGAGAUGGACCCGCGUCUGAUUAGCCAGUUGGCGGGGUAACGGCCCACCAAAGCUACGAUCAGUAGCCGGCCUGAGAGGGUGUACGGCCACAUUGGGGCUGAGACACGGCCCAAACUCCUACGGGAGGCAGCAGUGGGGAAUAUUGCACAAUGGGGGAAACCCUGAUGCAGCCGACGCCGCGUGAGUGAUGAAGUAUUUCGGUAUGUAAAACUCUAUCAGCAGGGAAGAUAAUGACGGUACCUGACUAAGAAGCACCGGCUAAAUACGUGCCAGCCGCCGC
rnacentral:rRNA from 1 species